GGCUAUGGCCUUGCCACCCUGAACAAGCCCAAUCCUGUCUGAUCUUGGAAGCUAAGCAGGGUCGGGCCUGGUUAGUACUUGAAUGGGAGACUACCUAGGAAGACUAGGUGCUGUGGGCC
rnacentral:rRNA from 1 species